GGUACAUUUAUAAUACCUGCAUUAUCUUGCCCAUCACUUGGAGCCCGCACAACACAGGUACCACACAACACAGGUACCACACAACACAGGUACCACACAACACAGGUAUCACACAACACAACACAGGUACCACACAACACAGGUACCACACAACACAACACAGGUAUCUUGCCCAUCACUUGGAGCCCACACAACACAGGUACCACACAACACAGGUAUCACACAACACAGGUACCACACAACACAACACAGAUACCACACAACACAACACAGGUAUCUUGCCAAUCACUUGGAGCCCACACAAGUGUGCUGAGCGUGUGAGGACAGCAGGGGAGGACAUGCAAAGAUGACAGUGGCGAUGUGGAAUGUGCACGCCACGCUACAGUCGGCGCUGGAUGGCAACGUGGCGAUUUCGACACCUCCAAAUGUGGUAAUGAAACGCACAAUGAAACAUCUGGUGUGUCAUGAAUACAAUACUUACAGUACAAACACUUUGUAGGGCGCAACCAAAUACAAGACUGGCACAUUACCUUAAUGGCAAAGACUACUUCCUACAUACUUAGUCUACACACUAUUGGGGCGGUAUAGCUUGGUUGCUAGAGCGGCUGUGCCGGCAACUUGAGGGUUCCAGGUUCGAUCCCCGCUUCCGCCAUCCUAGUCACUGCCGUUGUGUCCUUGGGCAAGAC